rnacentral:RNase_P_RNA from 1 species
AAAGUUUGACAGACAAUCGCUCGCGGCUUCGGACCGCGGGAGGAAAGUCCGGGCUCCGCAGGGCAGGGUGCUGGAUAACGUCCAGUCGGCGCGAGCCGAAGGAAAGUGCCACAGAAACGGACCGCCGAUGGCCGCCUUCCGGCGGCACAGGCAAGGGUGGAACCGUGGUGUAAGAGACCACGAGGAACACUGGCGACUUUGUUCCUGGUAAACCCCACCCGGAGCAAGACCAAAAAGGAACGCAGCGGCCCGUGCGGCCGCGACCCUGGCCCGGGGUGCGUUCGGGUUGGUCGCUAGAGCCGUCCAGUAAUGGCCGGCCCAGAAAGAUGAUUGUCGCUUCCAUACGUGGGAGGGCGGCACCCGCCGUCCGCGAUACCACCGGAAGAACAGAACCCGGCUUAUGGCAAACUUUCCGG